UACGAAGGGGGCUAGCGUUGCUCGGAAUUACUGGGCGUAAAGGGCGUGUAGGCGGGAGGGAAAGUCAGAUGUGAAAUCCCCGGGCUCAACCUGGGAACUGCGUUUGAAACUACAAGGCUAGAGUGUAGCAGGAGGGGGGUAGAAUUCCACGUGUAGCAGUGAAAUGCGUAGAGAUGUGGAGGAAUACCAAUGGCGAAGGCAGCCCCCUGGGUUAACACUGACGCUCAUGCACGAAAGCGUGGGGAGCAAACAGG
rnacentral:rRNA from 1 species